AUUCAUCGCAGUGGGUGUGGUUUCAGCAGCUCUUUUAAUAACUGUGGCUGUGCUCAUCGUAUACUGUAAGAGAGCUAAAGGGAACAAAACAGCAACAGAAGACAACGUGGGUCUGACCUUAAUCAGUGAUGCUGAAGGAGGAGUGAAGCAGUCUGGACCAGCAGACAGUCAGGACAAGG